ACACCGGCAGCUCUAGUGGUAGCAGUUUUUAUUGGGCCUAAAGCGUCCGUAGCCGGUUUAAUAAGUCUCUGGUGAAAUCCUGUAGCUUAACUGUGGGAAUUGCUGGAGAUACUAUUAGACUUGAGACCGGGAGAGGUUAGAGGUACUCCCAGGGUAGAGGUGAAAUUCUGUAAUCCUGGGAGGACCGCCUGUUGCGAAGGCGUCUAACUGGAACGGUUCUGACGGUGAGGGACGAAAGUUAGGGGCGCGAACCGGAUUAGAUACCCGGGUAGUCCUAACUGUAAACGAUGCGGACUUGGUGUUGGGGUGGCUUUGAGCUGCUCCAGUGCCGAAGGGAAGCUGUUAAGUCCGCCGCCUGGGAAGUACGGUCGCAAGACUGAAACUUAAAUGAAUUGGCGGGG
rnacentral:rRNA from 1 species